GACACUAAACAAGCAAGACAGUUCUACAUUGGUGUCCUGGACAUUGCUGGUUUGGAAAUCUUGACUUCAACACCUUGGAACAGCUGUGCAUCAACUUCACCAAUGAGAAACUGCAACAGUUUUUCAACCACAAUUCAUGUUUGUCCUGGAGCAAGAGGAGUACAAGAAGGAGGGUAUUAUCUGGGAGUUCAUUGACUUUACAUGGACUUGGCUGCCUGCAUUGAGCUAAUUGAAAAGCCCAUGGGCAUCUUCUCCAUCCUUGAAGAGGAGUGCAUGUUCCCCAAGGCCACAGGCACAUCCUUCA